UGAGCAGCGUGGUGCGCCGCUGCGUCGACAAGCGGACCUCUCAGGAGUACGCGGUGAAGAUCAUCGACAUCACCCCCUCCGACAAGAUGACGCCGCAGGAGAUCGAAGAGAUCAGAGAGGCGAUGGUGAAGGAGAUCGACAUCCUCAAGAAAGUCUACGGACAGGAAAACAUCAUUCAGCUCAAAGACUGCUAUGAGUCCAAGGCCUUCUUCUUCUUCCUGGUUUUUGACCUGUAAGUGUUUCACAUGGAUGAUUCCUGAACAGGUAUUUAUGUGAAAAUCAACCAAAACUUUUAGUUUCUUUUUCCCAGAAUGAAGAAGGGUGAACUUUUUGACUACCUCACAGAAAAAGUCACACUGAGCGAGAAUGAAACGUGAUCAGUGAGCAUGUUAUUUAACAAAAAAACAGAUACAUUCCGCUUACUCUUAAAAGGACUCUUUAAAGGUUUGCAUGUGUUGUCUUUAGGAAGAUCAUGCGGUCUCUAUUGGAGGUGGUCCAGUUUCUCCACGCCCAGAACAUUGUUCAUCGGGACCUGUAGCCCGAGAACAUCCUUUUAGAUGACUACAUGAACAUCAAACUCACUGACUUUGGUUUAGCUGUGCAGAUUCAGCCAGGACAGACACUCAAAGGUUGGCUGACAGUUAAACACCAGUGCAUCAUUUCAGACCCACCACUGAGUUGAGUGAAUAUUAAAGUUACAGUUUACAGCCUGCAGUGCACUCGUCAGGACAUCAGCUGUUGGUGGUGAGCGGAGAAUCUGGGUCUGUAUACAGUAUAAAUAAAAUUGAACCAGACUGAGUUAAAUUGAAAGUGUUUGUUUUGUCUCUCCAGUAGAGAUGCACUGAUUCCCAUUGAAUAGGAUGUCCAAACACUUCCCUAAGAUACUGUA